AGCAACUUGGGGGAAUGUAUAGCGUAAGCUAAUUGUAGUAAUACAAUAUCGACUAUGUCGGAUAAAGUUCUAGAUAGAAUAAUGAUGAUGACAAUUUUCUAUCUAUAUGUCUUGGCCAAAUCUCGUGCCAGCAGCCGCGGUAAUACGAGGAAGACUAGUGUUAUUCAUCUUUAAUAGGUUUAAAGGGUACCUAGACGGUAUUUUUAGCCCAAAACAGGGUACGGAUUUACUAGAGUUUUAUGUGAGAAGGGGAGUACUUAUGGAGUAGGGAUGAAAUCCUUUAAUACUAUGGGGUAACUGGUAGAGGCGAAAGCAACCUUUUAUGUAAAAACUGACGUUGAGGGACGAAGGCCUGGGUAGCAAAAAGGAUUAGAUACCCUCGUAGUCCAGGCAGAAAAUUAUGAAUGUCAUAGACUAGAUUAUAUUUAGUGUAUAAAUAAAAGUGCAAGCAUUCCACCUCAAGAGUAAUGUGGCAACGCAGGAACUGAAAUCAUUAGACCGUUUCUGAAACCAGUAGUGAAGUAUGUUAUUUAAUUCGAUGGCCCACGAAAAACCUUACCACAAUUUGAAUGUUAUUUAUUUAAUACAAGCGUUGCACGGCUGUCUUUAGUUAAUGUCGUGAGAUUUUGGUUAGUUCCAUUAAAUUAACGUAAACCCUUGCUUUAUUUUUCUUUUAUAUAAAGUAGUUCGCCACUAUAUUGGAUAUGAUAAAAGGGAUUAAGACAAGUCAUCAUGGCCUU
rnacentral:rRNA from 1 species